GACCUCAUUUCAGGUGAG
rnacentral:rRNA from 1 species